rnacentral:rRNA from 1 species
AGAGUUUGAUCAUGGCUCAGGACGAACGCUGGCGGCGUGCUUAAUGCAUGCAAGUCGAACGAAGAACCCACUAUGGGUAACCACUGUGGAAUUCUUAGUGGCGAACGGGUGAGUAAUACGUGAGAAACCUGCCCCGGAGACCGGGAUAGCCCAGGGAAACCUGGAUUAAUACCGGAUACCCUCUUGCGAUCGCAUGAUCGAUUGAGGAAAUGGUCCGCUGCUCCGGGAUGGUCUCGCGUCCUAUCAGCUAGUUGGUGAGGUAACGGCUCACCAAGGCAAUGACGGGUAGCUGGUCUGAGAGGACGAUCAGCCACACUGGGACUGAGACACGGCCCAGACUCCUACGGGAGGCAGCAGCAGGGAAUUUUGCACAAUGGGCGAAAGCCUGAUGCAGCGACGCCGCGUGGGGGAUUAAUGCCUUCGGGUUGUAAACCCCUUUCAGGAGGGACGAGGCGAAAGUGACGGUACCUCCAGAAGAAGCCCCGGCCAACUACGUGCCAGCAGCCGCGGUAAUACGUAGGGGGCGAGCGUUGUCCGGAUUUAUUGGGCGUAAAGAGCUCGUAGGCGGCUCAGCAAGUCGGCCGUGAAAACCUGAGGCUCAACCUCAGGACGCCGGUCGAAACUGCUGUAGCUAGGGUUCGGUAGAGGAGAGUGGAAUUCCCGGUGUAGCGGUGAAAUGCGCAGAUAUCGGGAGGAACACCAGUAGCGAAGGCGGCUCUCUGGGCCGACACCGACGCUGAGGAGCGAAAGCUAGGGGAGCAAACAGGAUUAGAUACCCUGGUAGUCCUAGCCGUAAACGUUGGGAACUAGGUGUGGCGGAUUCAUUGACAUCUGCCGUGCCGAAGCUAACGCAUUAAGUUCCCCGCCUGGGGAGUACGGCCGCAAGGUUAAAACUCAAAGGAAUUGACGG